rnacentral:misc_RNA from 1 species
UCUCCGUUGGUGAACCAGCGGAGGGGUCAUUACCGAGUUUUCAACUCCCAAACCCUUUUGUGAACAUACCUAUCGUUGCUUCGGCGGACUCGCCCCAGCGUCCGGCCGGCCCCGCGCCGGCCGCGGCCUGGAUCCAGGCGGCCGCCGGAGACCCCCAAACUCUGUAUUCUCAGUACCUUCUGAAUCCGCCGCAAGGCAAAACAAAUGAAUCAAAACUUUCAACAACGGAUCUCUUGGUUCUG